GGGGAAUAUUGCACAAUGGAGGAAACUCUGAUGCAGCAACGCCGCGUGAGUGAUGAAGGUCUUCGGAUUGUAAAGCUCUGUCUUCUGGGACAAUAAUGACAGUACCAAAGGAGGAAGCCACGGCUAACUACGUGCCAGCAGCCACGGUAAUACGUAGGUGGCAAGCGUUGUCCAGAUUUACUGGGCGUAAAGGAUGUGUAGGCGGAUAUUUAAGUGAGAUGUGAAAUCCCCGGGCUUAACUUGGGGGCUGCAUUUCAAACUGGAUGUCUAGAGCGCAGGAGAGGAAAGCAGAAUUCCUAGUGUAGCGGUGAAAUGCGUAGAGAUUAGGAAGAAUACCAGUGGCGAAGGCGGCUUUCUGGACUGUAACUGACGCUGAGGCAUGAAAGCGUGGGGAGCAAAC
rnacentral:rRNA from 1 species